GUAUCCUGUCUGAAUAUGGGGGGACCAUCCUCCAAGGCUAAAUACUCCUGACUGACCGAUAGUGAACCAGUACCGUGAGGGAAAGGCGAAAAGAACCCCGGCGAGGGGAGUGAAAAAGAACCUGAAACCGUGUACGUACAAGCAGUGGGAGCCUCUUAAUGGGGUGACUGCGUACCUUUUGUAUAAUGGGUCAGCGACUUAUAUUCUGUAGCAAGGUUAACCGAAUAGGGGAGCCGAAGGGAAACCGAGUCUUAACUGGGCGUUAAGUUGCAGGGUAUAGACCCGAAACCCGGUGAUCUAGCCAUGGGCAGGUUGAAGGUUGGGUAACACUAACUGGAGGACCGAACCGACUAAUGUUGAAAAAUUAGCGGAUGACUUGUGGCUGGGGGUGAAAGGCCAAUCAAACCGGGAGAUAGCUGGUUCUCCCCGAAAGCUAUUUAGGUAGCGCCUCGUGAAUUCAUCUCCGGGGGUAGAGCACUGUUUCGGCAAGGGGGUCAUCCCGACUUACCAACCCGAUGCAAACUGCGAAUACCGGAGAAUGUUAUCACGGGAGACACACGGCGGGUGCUAACGUCCGUCGUGAAGAGGGAAACAACCCAGACCGCCAGCUAAGGUCCCAAAGUCAUGGUUAAGUGGGAAACGAUGUGGGAAGGCCCAGACAGCCAGGAUGUUGGCUUAGAAGCAGCCAUCAUUUAAAGAAAGCGUAAUAGCUCACUGGUCGAGUCGGCCUGCGCGGAAGAUGUAACGGGGCUAAACCAUGCACCGAAGCUGCGGCAGCGACACUAUGUGUUGUUGGGUAGGGGAGCGUUCUGUAAGCCUGUGAAGGUGGCCUGUGAGGGUUGCUGGAGGUAUCAGAAGUGCGAAUGCUGACAUAAGUAACGAUAAAGCGGGUGAAAAGCCCGCUCGCCGGAAGACCAAGGGUUCCUGUCCAACGUUAAUCGGGGCAGGGUGAGUCGACCCCUAAGGCGAGGCCGAAAGGCGUAGUCGAUGGGAAACAGGUUAAUAUUCCUGUACUUGGUGUUACUGCGAAGGGGGGACGGAGAAGGCUAUGUUGGCCGGGCGACGGUUGUCCCGGUUUAAGCGUGUAGGCUGGUUUUCCAGGCAAAUCCGGAAAACCAAGGCUGAGGCGUGAUGACGAGGCACCACGGUGCUGAAGCGACAAAUGCCCUGCUUCCAGGAAAAGCCUCUAAGCAUCAGGUAACAUCAAAUCGUACCCCAAACCGACACAGGUGGUCAGGUAGAGAAUACCAAGGCGCUUGAGAGAACUCGGGUGAAGGAACUAGGCAAAAUGGUGCCGUAACUUCGGGAGAAGGCACGCUGAUAUGUAGGUGAAGCGACUUGCUCGUGGAGCUGAAAUCAGUCGAAGAUACCAGCUGGCUGCAACUGUUUAUUAAAAACACAGCACUGUGCAAACACGAAAGUGGACGUAUACGGUGUGACGCCUGCCCGGUGCCGGAAG
rnacentral:rRNA from 1 species